UACAGAGGUGCCAAGCGUUAGGCGGAAUCACUGGGCUUAAAGCGCGCGUAGGCGGAUGUUUAAGUGUCUUGUGAAAUCCCACGGCUCAACCGUGGAACUGCUGGGCAUACUGGACAUCUCGAGGCACUCAGGGGCGAGCGGAACAAGUGGUGGAGCGGUGAAAUGCGUAGAUAUCUGGAGGAACACCGGUGGCGAAGGCGACGUCCUGGACCGGCAUUGACGCUGAGGCGCGAAAGCCAGGGGAGCAAACGGG
rnacentral:rRNA from 1 species